rnacentral:tRNA from 1 species
UUCCUGGUGGUCCAGUGGCUAAGACUCUGCACUCCCAAUGUAGGUGGUCCAGGUUCCACUCCUGGUCAAGGAA